AUGCCGGGCAGGGCCCGGCGCGCUCCCCCGCGCCCUGGCGCGCCGCACCUCCCCACGGGCUCCGGCCACGCCAGGCCCCCUCCCCGGCUACGGUUCCCAGAGAGGGCGGCGGUGGCGGCGGCUUGGCGGUGGAGAGACGGGGAGCGAGGAAUGGAGGGCGAGGAGGCGGCGGGAGGCAGAGGCUCAGCGCGCACCCAGCUCCGCGCCCUGCUGCCACCGGAGCCCGGCGCGGCAACUCCUCCAACUCUCCGCCGAGAGCACGCCCGCCCCGCGCCGCGCCGCCGCUGCCCCCGCCCACCGCGGCAGCGGCCGGGCCUGGCGCCCCCUCCGAGCUCUGGGCCGCCCCCACCCCACCCCGCCACACACACACACACACACACACACACAGCCAGCCACUUGCGCGCUGGGACGCGCGCGCGCACGCACACACACACACACAAUCACAUCCUCCCGGGGACACACACACACACACACACACACACACACAGGUAUGCACGCACAGACAGGAGAAUCCGGAACACGUGUGCACACAGUCGGAUACCCAGACUUGGGCGUCGCACCCUCACGUGCAAAGUGCGUGCCCCCGCAUGCAUGCCGGUAGCAGGUGCACAGGCGUGCACACACCCUCAUAGCUGCGCAUGCAGGGUGGUAUCUGCACAUGUGUCCACGUGCACACAGCUCGGCUCGUGCACCCACCAGGCACACGGCAUCUCUCUCCUGCUCUGCCUGGCUUCCUCCCCUGCUUUCUCCUCUGUGCUCCACCCCCCUCUGCCGACUGACCCCCAUGUGACCCCUUUUUCUUGCCCACCGGACUCUGGAGGCCAGGCUUUCUUCCCAGCCUGUCCCCAGGUGCCCUGCCCUCCCAGCCUCCCUGGGGCUCAUUGUCUGGGCUUCAGUUCUCUCUGCCUCCUGCAGGGUACCGGCCUCUCAUCUAGCAGAGAAACCUGCCCAGCUGCGCCCCAACCCAGGGAAACCCCAUUUUAUCAGGGUCUGACCCCACCACCACCACCACCACCACUCAGCCCCAGGGCCGCAGAAUUGGGCCACGGAGGCAGGGCUGUGCCCAGAGCCUCAGCCUCAAAGGGCUCCCCGGCCCUGUCGGCCUCCAGCCUUCCCUUUAAUGUGAAAUAUAAUUAUGUGUCUGCACAGCAGGGAGACUGGCUGCAGCGUUCUAACCAGGGAGGAGGGCUCUCUGGCCUGCGCCCAGAUGGCUGGCAAAGCAGAGAGGCCUGCCGGCCCCACCUGCUCCAGGCUCCAGGCAGCUGGCAGGUGCCUCCCAGGGUGGGGUCACUCCUUGGAGCACUCAUCAACCUCCCCUGGCCGCCCUGGGUCUGA
rnacentral:lncRNA from 1 species